ACUCUCGACUUAUUACCUGAAUAUGCGUCUGUUGAAUGAAGACUUGCGAGAUGUCCGUGGGUUUAUAUAGGCCGAGCUAGUAGCUAGCAAUAUGUGUGUGGGGAUAUCUGCGCUUCUUUUGUUGGCCGAUUCGAAGAUUGUUGAUGCGGUUAAUUUUGUACUACCACUUUAUAAAGAGU